GCGGGUGCUAACGUCCGUCGUGGAGAGGGAAACAACCCAGACCGCCAGCUAAGGUCCCAAAUUACUACUAAGUGGGAAACGAUGUGGGAAGGCUCAGACAGCCAGGAUGUUGGCUUAGAAGCAGCCAUCAUUUAAAGAAAGCGUAAUAGCUCACUGGUCGAGUCGGCCUGCGCGGAAGAUGUAACGGGGCUAAGUAGUAAACCGAAGCUGCGGCAAUGUGCUUUUGCACAUUGGGUAGGGGAGCGUUCUGUAAGCGGUUGAAGGUGUGUGGUAACGCAUGCUGGACGUAUCAGAAGUGCGAAUGCUGACAUGAGUAACGAUAAAGGGGGUGAAAAACCUCCUCGCCGGAAGACCAAGGGUUCCUGUCCAACGUUAAUCGGGGCAGGGUAAGUCGACCCCUAAGGCGAGGCCGAAAGGCGUAGUCGAUGGGAAACGGGUUAAUAUUCCCGUACUUCUUACAAUUGCGAUGGGGGGACGGAGAAGGCUAGGUGGGCCUGGCGACGGUUGUCCAGGUUCAAGUGCGUAGGCUUAAGAGUUAGGUAAAUCCGGCUCUUUUUAAGGCUGAGACACGACGUCGAGCAUCUACGGAUGUGAAGUCAUUGAUGCCAUGCUUCCAGGAAAAGCCUCUAAGCUUCAGAUUGUAAGGAAUCGUACCCCAAACCGACACAGGUGGUCGGGUAGAGAAUACCAAGGCGCUUGAGAGAACUCGGGUGAAGGAACUAGGCAAAAUGGUACCGUAACUUCGGGAGAAGGUACGCUCUCGACGGUGAAGUCCCUCGCGGAUGGAGCUAUUGAGAGUCGCAGAUACCAGGUGGCUGCAACUGUUUAUUAAAAACACAGCACUGUGCAAAAUCGUAAGAUGACGUAUACGGUGUGACGCCUGCCCGGUGCCGGAAGGUUAAUUGAUGGGGUUAGACUUCGGUCGAAGCUCUUGAUCGAAGCCCCGGUAAACGGCGGCCGUAACUAUAACGGUCCUAAGGUAGCGAAAUUCCUUGUCGGGUAAGUUCCGACCUGCACGAAUGGCGUAAUGAUGGCCACGCUGUCUCCACCCGAGACUCAGUGAAAUUGAAAUCGCUGUGAAGAUGCAGUGUACCCGCGGCUAGACGGAAAGACCCCGUGAACCUUUACUACAGCUUGGCACUGAACAUUGACCCUACAUGUGUAGGAUAGGUGGGAGGCUUUGAAGCACGUACGCCAGUAUGUGUGGAGCCGUCCUUGAAAUACCACCCUUGUAGUGUUGAUGUUCUAACGUCGACCCCUUAUCGGGGUUGCGGACAGUGCCUGGUGGGUAGUUUGACUGGGGCGGUCUCCUCCCAAAGAGUAACGGAGGAGCACGAAGGUGGGCUAAUCACGGUUGGACAUCGUGAGGUUAGUGCAAUGGCAUAAGCCCGCUUGACUGCGAGAAUGACAAUUCGAGCAGGUGCGAAAGCAGGUCAUAGUGAUCCGGUGGUUCUGAAUGGAAGGGCCAUCGCUCAACGGAUAAAAGGUACUCCGGGGAUAACAGGCUGAUACCGCCCAAGAGUUCAUAUCGACGGCGGUGUUUGGCACCUCGAUGUCGGCUCAUCACAUCCUGGGGCUGAAGUCGGUCCCAAGGGUAUGGCUGUUCGCCAUUUAAAGUGGUACGCGAGCUGGGUUUAGAACGUCGUGAGACAGUUCGGUCCCUAUCUGCCGUGGGCGUUGGAAGAUUGAAGGGGGCUGCUCCUAGUACGAGAGGACCGGAGUGGACGAACCUCUGGUGUUCGGGUUGUGUCGCCAGACGCAUUGCCCGGUAGCUAAGUUCGGAAUCGAUAACCGCUGAAAGCAUCUAAGCGGGAAGCGAGCCCUGAGAUGAGUCUUCCCUGAUACUUUAAGUAUCCUAAAGGGUUGUCGGAGACUACGACGUUGAUAGGUCAGGUGUGUAAGUGCUGUGAGGCAUUGAGCUAACUGAUACUAAUUGCCCGUGAGGCUUAACCAUACAACACCCAAGGGGUUU
rnacentral:rRNA from 1 species